rnacentral:rRNA from 1 species
AUCAACGCUGGCGGCGUGCCUAACACAUGCAAGUCGAACGCGAAAGUCCCGCAAGGGAUGAGUAGGGUGGCAAACGGGUGAGUAACACGUGGGUGACCUGCCUUCGAGCGGGGGAUAACGUCCCGAAAGGGACGCUAAUACCGCAUGACAUCCCGCCUUUGAAGAGGUGGAGAUCAAAAGCUGGGGAUCGCAAGACCUAGCACUUGAAGAGGGGCCCGCGUCUGAUUAGCUAGNGGUGGGUAACGGCUCACCAAGGCAACGAUCAGUAUCCGGCCUGAGAGGGCGGACGGACACACUGGGACUGAGACACGGCCCAGACUCCUACGGGAGGCAGCAGUGGGGAAUUGUUCGCAAUGGGCGCAAGCCUGACGACGCAAACGCCGCGUGGAGGAUGAAGACC